AGAGAAGCAGCAGAGUCACUUCACCGACCAGACGCCGCGGCCACCGCCGACGCCGCCGCCAUUUUAACAGAGCGCUCGGGCUGCGCUCGGCUCUUUCCGCCCGGGCUUAGGAGCGGACGAGAGGCGCCUCGCGCUCUCAUUCCUCCGCCUCCCUCCCUUUCUCGCCUCUCCUCCGCCCCCCACCUCUCCCUCCGCACACACGCCGCACGCUCCACACCCCGCCGUGGCCGGCUCGCCGCCCUCCCUUUCCUCUUCCGUCCGGCCUCCCCGCCCUCGGUCCACCCCCUCCGCGCGCUCGCCCACCCCGCCCAGCCCGGAUCUCUGUCAGCGGCCGGAAGGGAAACGCGAAGCCAGCGCGGCCGCGGGGGGAGUCCGGUUCCUUGAAGGUCCUCCGUCCUGGAGCAGUAAGAUCCUUGACGUAACUAGAAAUGGCAGGGUAAGGAGUGUUUGCCUGACAUCGUCUCGUUUUUACGGAAGAGGGCCCCUCACGAUGUGCCCAUCAGCCCCACCUGAAAUAGCAAGAAAUCUUCUUCAGCAGAGAGCGAAUAACAAGGAUAUUAAGAUAAAGAACAGGUGAAGGGGGCAGUCAGCUGAAGCUUGUAAGGGAAUUUUCCUCACGCCGGCACUUACCCCUUGCUUGCUAAUUUUUGUGUUCAACGUGUUUACAUAGACAUGUGACUGCAAAGUCCGAAAGAUCGUGUACAGAAUCUCUGAACGGUAACCAGAGUGUCUGUCAAGGCUCUGUAGUCAUUCUCUCGAUAGCUUUUGUGGAGGUUAUGGCACGCCCAUCUCUCCAUGCCAGAACCACCUGGUUCCAAAUGCUUUGCCUUUCUGCUGCUUGAAGUUGAUACUAUAAACAGUCUGCCCAACCCGUUUUGUUUCCCACUAGCAGGUGAUCCUUAGGAUUGUAGUUCUAUUCUACCAUCAUCUUCCCUUCUUCCUUGUCUUUCUCACAGAAUUGGGUUUUUGCAGACUUACUUUGGAUCCUGAGGCAGACAUUCGUUGUCCACUCAACAUACAUUCCCACGUAUCCCUUUUUUCCCUGCCAACACAACCCCAAUUAUUUUUAUUUGAAUUUUUUUUUUUUGAGACAAAGUCUCACUCUGUCGCCAAGGUUAGAGUGCAGUGGUGCGAUCACAGUUCACUACAGCCUCCACUUUAUGGGCUCAAGGGAUCCUCCCACUUCCCUAGUAGCUGGGGCUACAGGCGCUCUCCACCACACGUAACUAAUUGUUUUUUAUUUUUAGUAGGGACAGGGUCUUGCUAUGUUACCCAGGCUGGUCUCAAACUCCUGGCCUCAACUGAUCCUCCGGCCCAAAAUGUUAGGAUUACAGGUAUGAGCCAACGUGCUGGUCUCACGUUUUUUCAGGUAGCAGUUGAAACCAACCAUCAUGGUGAUCUGGCUUUUCUAGGGCUGGCCAUACAUAAUUGAGUUCCUCCUGAUAAAAGGUAAGCAACAAUCCUGAGAAACAUGGACAAAGCUCAUCUCUGCUAAAAAUACAAAAUUAGGCAUGGUGGUGCAUGCCUGUAAUCCCAGCUACUCAGGAGGCUGAGGCAGGAGAAUCGCUUGAACCCGGGAGGCAGGGGUUGCGGUGAGCCGAGAUCGCGCCAUUGCACUCCAGCCUGGGAUAAGAGUGAAACUCCGUCUCAUAAAAAAAAAAAAAAAAAAAGGCCAGGCAUGGUGGUUCAUGCCUGUAAUCCCAGCGCUUUGGGAGGCCGAGGCGAGAAGAUCACUAAAUCAGGAGAUUGAGACCAUCCUGGCUAACACGGUGAAACCCCGUCUCUACUAAAAAUACAAAAAAUUAGCCAGGCAUGGUGGUGGGCGCCUGUAGUCCCAGCUACUUGGGAGGCUGAGGCAGGAGAAUGGCAUGAACCCAGGGAGCAAAGCUUGCAGUGAGCUGAGAUCGCGCCACUGCACUCCAGCCUGGGCGACACAGCAAGACUCCGUCUCAAAAAAAAAAAAAAAAAAUUACCUGGUCGUGGUGGCUCACGACUAUAAUCAUAGUACUUUGAGAGUCCAAGGCAGAUGGAUUGCUUGAGCCUGGGAGUUCUACAUCAACCUGGGCAACAUGGCAAAAGUCCAUCUCCAGUACAUAAGAAAAUUAGUGGAAUGUGGUGGUGCACACCUGUAAUCCCAGCUACUGGGGAGGCUGAGGUGGGAGGAUCACUAGAGCCCAGGAGAUUGAGACUGCAGUGAGCUGUGGUCAUACCACUGCAGUCUAGCCUGGGUGACAGAGUGAGACCCUCUCUGGAAAAAAAAAGAAAUGUAAGCAGAAAUCUGCAGGAUGGGUUCUUUGGGAAGAAUUCCCAAAAGAAUUCCUAAUACGAUGAGGGACAAAUUCAGCUAACAUACCAUUUAACCCUUUCUGCCUGAAACAUGGUCUUGAUGCACAAAGUAAUACCCAUCUUGUAAUUUUUUUAACAAUGAAAACUUUUACCCCAUUUGCGAUUUCAUUGUUUAAAAAAUUUGAUUAAACAGGCCGGGCACAGUGGCUCACGCCUGUAAUCCCAACACUUUGGGAGGCUGAGGCAGGUGGAUCACCUGAGGUCAGAGUUCAAGACCAGCCUUACCUACAUGCUGAAACCCCAUCUCUUCUAAAAAUAUAAAAAAUGAGCCGGGUGUGGUGGCGGGCACUUUGUAAUCCCAGCUACUCGGGAGGCUGAGGCUGGAGAAUUGCUUGAACCCGGGGGUGGAGGUUGCAGUGAGCCGAGAUUCUGCCAUUGCACUCCAGCCUGGGCAACAAGAGCAAAAAAAAUUCCAUCUCGAAAAAAAAUGAUAAAACAGAAUCAUAAAGUGUGGAUCCCUGAUGCAUCUUUGAACAACAGUCUAUGCUCAGACUGCUUAUGUGAGAAAAAUAAAAUGUAUUUUUCUUGGCUGGGCAUGGUGGCCUACACCUGUAUUCCCAGAACUUUGAGAGGCUAAGGAGGGCAGAUCACUUGAGGACAGGAGUUAGAGACCGGCCUGGCCAACGUAAUGAAACCCAUCUCUACUAAAAAUACAAAAAUUAGGCUGGGCGCAAUGGCUCACGCCUGUACUCCCAGCACUUUGGGAGGGGGAGGUGGGCAGAACACAAGGUCAGGAGUUCAAGACCAGCCUGGCCAACGUAGUGAAGCCUCGUCUCUACUAAAAAUACAAAAAUUAGCCGGGUUUGAUGGCGCAUGCCUAUAGUCCCAACUACUUGGGAGGCUGAGGCAAGAGAAUUGCUUGAACCCAGGAGGCAGAAGUUGCAGUGAGCCAAGAUCGCACCAGUGCACUCCAGCCUCGGCGACAGAGCAAGACUCCGUCUCAAAAAAAAAAAAAAGCCGGUUGUGGUGGAGGGCACCUGUAAUCCCAGCCACUCAGAAGGCUGAGGCAGGAGAAUCCCUUGAACCCGGGAGGCAGAGGUUGCAGUGAGCUGCAGUUGCCACUGCACUCCAGCCUGGAUGACAGAGCAAGACUCCUCAAAAAAGUUCUUUUUCUUUAAGCCAUUCUUCAGAUUUUCGUUACUUGUAACCAAACACAUUUCUAACUACUGAUUACAGAUACUCUUUUUUUUUUUUUUUUUUUUUUUUGAGUCUCGCUUUUUUUGCCCAGGCUGGAGUGCAGUGGAGUGAUCUCCGCUCACUGCCAGCUCCGCCUCCCGGGUUCAGGCCAUUCUCCUGCCUCAGCCUCCUGAGUAGCUGGGACUACAGGUGCCACCACCACACCUGUCUACUUUUUUGUAUUUUUAGUAGAGAUGGGGUUUCUCCAUGUUGGUCAGGCUGGUCUCGAACUCCCACCCUCAGGUGAUCCGCCCGCCUCGGCCUCCUAAAGUGCUGUGAUUACAGGCGUGAGCCACCGCGCCCGGCCAAGUGUGUAUAACUGUUGAUCAACAUUUUGAAGACCAGUUAUGACAGUUAAAUUAUUUGCCACAACUCAAAUGAACAGCAGAGCACUUUAUCACAAACUAACAUUCACCCUGGAAUGUACUGUACAGUCAACCUAUUCUGUCUCCUUCCAUCUCUCCAUUCCUAUGCCUUUCAUCUUUUUAUUUUAUUUUAAUUUUUUUUUGAGAUGGAGUCUUGCUCUGCUGCCCAGGGUGGAGUGCAGUGGCGCAAUCUCGGCUCACUGCAAGCUCUGCCUCCUGGGUUCAAGCGAUUCACCUGCCUCAGCCUCCUAAAUAGCUGGGAUUACAGAUGUGUGCCAUCACAUUGGGCUAAUAUUUAUAUUUUUAGUAGAGACAGGGAUCUUACUAUGUUGCCCAGGCUGUUCUUGAACUCGGUCUCAAGUGAUCCACCCACCUCAGCCUCCCAAAGUGAUGGGAUUACAGGUAUGAGCCACCAGCCCUGGCCUAAAUUUAAAAAAAAGGGUAUUCCUAUGUUGCCCAGACUGGUCUCGAACUCCUGAGCUCCAGCAAUCCUCCCACCUGCCAAAGUGCUAGGAUUACAGUUGAGCCACUGCACCCCACAGAGAUCUCACUGUGUUGCCCAGGCUGCAGUGCAGUGACAAUUCAUAGGCCCAGCAUGCUUUGAACGGCAUGCUUUGAGGUGAUCCUCCUGCCUCAGCCUCCCAAGUAGCUGGGACUACAGGCAUAUUCCACCACUUUCCUGGCUCAAGGAAUCCUCCUGCCUCAGCCUCCUGGGUAGCUGGGAGGACAAGUGUGUGUCACCACACCUGGACAACUGGGGGUGUAUUUGUAUCUUAUGGGAUGGAUAUUUGGUGAUUUGUUAUGAGCAAAUUGAUACCCUUCUGUUUGUGGAGAUUCUCUUGAAUCCUUUUUUCCAUACACUCCAUUUUCUUCUGUUUGGAACUCAUGUUUACUUAUGGAGUGGUCCUCAAAUUUUUAAAAGUUUAUAUUUUGCAUCUUUUUCUCUUUUCCCUCUAUUUUUGGGAGAUUUAAAUUUCUUUUUUUUUCUUUUUGAGGAGUCUCGCUGUCGCCCAGGCUGGAGUGCAGUGGCGCCGUCUCAGCUCACUGCAAGCUCCGCCUCCCGGGUUCACGCCAUUCUCCUGCGUCAGCCUCCCAAGUAGCUGGGACUACAGGUGCCCACCACCAUGCCCGGCUAAUUUCUUUGUAUUUUUAGUAGAGACAGGGUUUCACAGUGUUAGCCAGGAUGGUCUCCAUCUCCUGACCUCGUGAUCCGCCCGCCUUGGCCUCCCAAAGCGCUGGGAUUACACACGUGAGCCACCGCACCUGCCUCUGCAACUCAUUUUUUAUUUCUGCUAUUCUCUAAUUUCCAAAAUUCUGUUCUCUUGAUAUACCUUUACUGUGGUAUUGUUUUUCUUGGUUGCAGAAAGCUCUCAACUUUUCUAAGGGUACUGGUGAUUGAUAUUUUUGUUUACUUUUGCCUGUGCAGUCUGUUUUCAACUUGCCCGUUUCCAUUUUAAAAUUCAUAUUGAGACUGCCCUUAGAUGUCUGAUAAUCCUUAGUUGUCCAUUUACACACCCAUUAUAUAAAAUGUAUAGGGAAGGCCAGGCACGGUGGCUCACGCCUAUAAUCCCAGCACUUUGGGAGGCUGAGGUGGGUGGAUCACCUGAGGUCAGGAGUUUGAGACCAGCCUGUCUAAACAUGGCAAAACCCCAUCUUUAGUAAAAGCACAAACAGCUGGUUGCGUUGAUGCGUGCCUGCAGCCCCAGCUUCUCUGGAGGCUGAGGCUGGAGAAUCGCUUGAAUCCGGGAGGCGGAGGUAGUAGUGAGCCGAGAUCACGCCACUGCACUCCAGCCUGAGCAACAGAGCAAGAUUCUAUCACCCCCACCCCCCACCCCGCAAAAAAAAAAAUCAAUCUAUAUCUGAGAGAGAGUGUCUCACUCUGGCUGGAGUGCAGUGGCACAAUCUCAGCUCACAGCAACCUCUCCUUCCCAAAUUCAAGAGAUUCUCCUGGCUCAGCCUCCCAAGCAGCUGGAACUACAGGCACGUGCCACCACACUUGGCUAAUUUUUGUAUUUUUUUGUAGAGACAGGGUUUCACUGUGUUGGCCAGGCAGGUCUGGGACUCUUGGCCUCAAGUGAUCCGCCCACCUUGGCCUCCCAAAGGGCAGGGAUUACAGGUGUGAGCUACCAAGCCUGGCUCCACUCACCCUUUUGAGAAGGCUCAUGGCUACUUAGUUUACUUACAUUUUUUAAGAAUACAAUUAGUAUUUGUACCAGGUUACAUCUGUGUUCUCAUUCCAAGGCUAAUGUUUAUUCUUUGUUACAUUUAGAUGCUAAGUAGAGUUAGACAAGAAGUGCCCUCUAAUCCCAAAUAAAGGUAAAAUGAGUCAAAAUGCCACAGGAGGAAUUUGUUUCUUGAGAACAAAAGGUAUCUUAGGAACAUGUUCAUUUUACACAACUGCUGCAUUUACUAGGAACAAUAACCUUAGAAAUCUUGUUUGUAAAUCAAGGGGUCCAACUUCAUUUAAAAUGUUACUUGAUGCUUAAACACAAAUACCCACUAUCAUUAAUAUAGGAAUAAAUGAG
rnacentral:lncRNA from 1 species